UUUUAUUGUCAUUUCACAUGUUGUGGUGUCAUUCAGUCUUUCUCCUCUUCCGCAGGCAUGGUGUGUAAUCGGUUUGCAUCUGUCAUCUUCGUUAGCAGCAAGACCAAGCGGGAACUGCUCAACAAUAUAGUGAGGAGAAAGAGACUGCGCGUGGAUCCCUGUCUCCAACCUGGUAGCUGCUGCUCAUCCUCCUGCUGGGAGAGCAGGUUGUCGAGGAUGCACCGUUGGUAGGUCGGCAGCCGCGGCGCCCUCACACUGCUCGGCUACGUCGCGAUGGCUCCAGGUGAUGACUCCAUACCCGACCUGCAUGCAACAACGUCAUUAAUCGCUUAAUCGAUAGUACAAACAGUCAAUGUUACUUACAAGAUCAGACGUCACGUAUUAUGUUUGUUGUUUGUUACGUAUGAUGUAGUAUAAUCAAUAAAUGAUUACAUGUUGUAUUGAAA